GGGUGGGAUCAGACCGACUGAAAAUCGGAAGGUCGACGGUUCGAUCCCGUCCCUGGCCA
rnacentral:tRNA from 1 species